rnacentral:misc_RNA from 1 species
GUGCAAACUCCGAUAUGAUAUGUGCAGGCGCCCCACCCCUCUCCUGCUUCCUCAAAUUCUCAUUAUGCCGAAUAAUCAUUGCCAACUGAUGAGUUAAAUCAUCCUCACUCCUAGAGGAUGUAUCCAUCAUCACAGAGGGCCUCACAGGAGGUGGUGGAAUUGGAAGGACUUGUAGAAUCAUCCAAUCUGGACGUGCAUACUUUGGAUAAAAUCCUAACAAUUGGCAGUCCUCAU